GGGGAUGACACGGCUUCGACGGGUAGUAAACGUGCUGCGGACUGUCCUGCCGAGCUUCCUAAUAUGCUCGUAAAUCUCGUUAGGAACAUGUAACUGCGGACGAUUAUUCGUACGCGAUGGCGGCGUAAACGCCCCAUCUGUCUCUAGAGGGCUUCGGCCUAUGAGCCGCUAGAGACAUCGAUUAGUAGGUCUAGUCAUCUGUUGCUCCGGCUGAGCGAUUAGAUGGCAAAAUUUGAUCAGCCUUGGCAUCUGGCUGGCUUCGACACUGGGCUGGAGCCAGACGCGACAUGAAAAACAGUGACUAUGCAGGUAGAUGUUCGACAAGUGCGGCUACUCGGACCCGGGUUCGACUCCCGGCAUCUCCACCA
rnacentral:tmRNA from 1 species